rnacentral:rRNA from 1 species
GACGAACGCUGGCGGCGUGCCUAAUACAUGCAAGUCGAGCGGACUUUCAAGAAGCUUGCUUUUUAAAAGUUAGCGGCGGACGGGUGAGUAACACGUGGGCAACCUGCCUGCAAGACGGGGAUAACUCCGGGAAACCGGGGCUAAUACCGGAUAAUAUCUUCCUUCGCAUGAAGGAAGGUUGAAAGGCGGCGCAAGCUGCCGCUUGCAGAUGGGCCCGCGGCGCAUUAGCUAGUUGGUGAGGUAACGGCUCACCAAGGCGACGAUGCGUAGCCGACCUGAGAGGGUGAUCGGCCACACUGGGACUGAGACACGGCCCAGACUCCUACGGGAGGCAGCAGUAGGGAAUCUUCCGCAAUGGACGAAAGUCUGACGGAGCAACGCCGCGUGAGCGAAGAAGGUCUUCGGAUCGUAAAGCUCUGUUGUCAGGGAAGAACAAGUACCGUUCGAACAGGGCGGUACCUUGACGGUACCUGACCAGAAAGCCACGGCUAACUACGUG